CUGCGUGGCUCUUUUGUCUGGACGUUAGAAUCAGGAUCUAACUGGUUUCUCUGCUUCCUAUUCCGUGCCUCACAAAUUCACCUCCCCUCCUUAUUCCUGCUAUUUCUAAAAGAUGGAUUUGGCUAUGUUGUUAUCCAACUUAAACCAUUUCAUUAUCUUCCCUUUCUCUGAAAGACAGCAUCCAGGUUCACUAGCCUCAAGACACUGAAACC
rnacentral:lncRNA from 1 species